AUAAUAUUUGAAACUUCUCUCUGAAACUUCUUCUUGCUUCUAAAUACUCGAAAAAAAAGGAAAACAAUUGCCAAGCAGGAUGGUGCUGUACGUAAAAGAUCUGAAUCCGAUGUUACAUAACCCGGAAGUUGCUGUGAAAAUUCUUAGAGAAUGGCCACCUCAUUUUAUUCAAGGACAGCCUUUUUAUCAAAGUUUGAUUUUGGUAGACGAGAGGGGAAAUAGGAUUGAUGCCAAGAUAGAUGCGGAUCUUUAUGUAUCAAGAUACUAUGGAAAAAUCAAGGAAGGAGACUGGUACGAGAUUACUGGAUUUUUAGUGAUUGAAGGUCAACAAUCAUUUAGGAACUCAAACCAUCCGUUUCAGAUCCUGAUCCAGGAUAAAACAAAAAUGAUCCUAACAUAUGUGCGAAGUACUGACAAUUUUAUCCUUUUUUUAUGAGGCAUUGAGAAUGAAUAAUUCGACGCCUGAAGAGAAGAACCGCUGUGUAAAUGUCAUGGGAAUGCUGUCACACGUAAACAAGCCUCAGACAAUUGAUUUCCUUGAACAUCAAAAUGGCUACAUUUCAGAGAAUGAAGUUGUGACAUUCAUUAUCCUUGAACACAAGUAAGAUAAUAUUCGAAACUUUCGAUAUUCUUAAAAAUAUAAUCUAUUUACUGGUUGUUUAACUUAUAUACAAUCAAUUUUUUUUUUUAAGUGGCCUAGAGAUUGAAUGUGUUGUUGUUGGUUCUGUUUGUACUGCAUUU